rnacentral:snoRNA from 1 species
UUGCCCUGUGCCUCGCUCGGUUGUUAAUUGUCAGUAUUACAAUCUUGAGCUGGAUGACGGAAGAAUGACAAUUAAUCUGUCUUCUCGCCAAUGGGCUAUAACAACCAGACUUCUUUGAGUACGAGGAUAUCAUUAGUUUUUUCCACGGUAUCGUAUUGUAAUUAGAAUGUCUCAUAUCA